rnacentral:rRNA from 1 species
ACAUGCAAGUCGAGCGAGACCUUCGGGUCUAGCGGCGGACGGGUUAGUAACCCUUUGGGAACGUACCUUUUGCUUCGGAAUAGCCUCGGGAAACUGGGAGUAAUACCGAAUGUGCCCUUUGGGGGAAAGAUUUAUCGGCAAAAGAUCGGCCCGCGUCUGAUUAGAUAGUUGGUGGGGUAAUGGCCUACCAAGUCUGCGAUCAGUAGCUGGUUUGAGAGGAUGAUCAGCAACACUGGGACUGAGACACGGCCCAGACUCCUACGGGAGGCAGCAGUGGGGAAUCUUAGACAAUGGGCGCAAGCCUGAUCUAGCGAUGCCGCGUGAGUGACGAAGGCCUUAGGGUCGUAAAGCUCUUUCGCCAGGGAUGAUAAUGACAGUACCUGGUAAAGAAACCCCGGCUAACUCCGUGCCAGCAGCCGCGGUAAUACGGAGGGGGUUAGCGUUGUUCGGAAUUACUGGGCGUAAAGCGCACGUAGGCGGAUUAGAAAGUUGGGGGUGAAAUCCCAGGGCUCAACCCUGGAACUGCCUCCAAAACUAC